GACGAACGCUGGCGGCGUGCCUAAUACAUGCAAGUAGAACGCACAGUUUAUACCGUAGCUUGCUACACCAUAGACUGUGAGUUGCGAACGGGUGAGUAACGCGUAGGUAACCUGCCUGGUAGCGGGGGAUAACUAUUGGAAACGAUAGCUAAUACCGCAUAAUAUUAAUUAUUGCAUGAUAAUUAAUUGAAAGGUGCAAUUGCACCACUACCAGAUGGACCUGCGUUGUAUUAGCUAGUAGGUGAGGUAACGGCUCACCUAGGCGACGAUACAUAGCCGACCUGAGAGGGUGAUCGGCCACACUGGGACUGAGACACGGCCCAGACUCCUACGGGAGGCAGCAGUAGGGAAUCUUCGGCAAUGGACGAAAGUCUGACCGAGCAACGCCGCGUGAGUGAAGAAGGUUUUCGGAUCGUAAAGCUCUGUUGUAAGAGAAGAGCGGGUGUGAGAGUGGAAAGUUCACACUGUGACGGUAUCUUACCAGAAAGGGACGGCUAACUACGUG
rnacentral:rRNA from 1 species